rnacentral:rRNA from 1 species
CGUGAAAGAAUGCAAGUCGACGGGAUUACUUCUGUAGCAAUACAGAAGUAAUUUAGUGGCGAACGGGUGCGUAACACGUGGGCAAUCUGCCGAAAAGUGGGGGAUAGCUCGCCGAAAGGCGAAUUAAUACCGCAUGUGGUGAGGGGAGACAUCUCUCUGAAUCCAAAGCCGGGGCAACCUGGCGCUUUUUGAGGAGCCCGCGGCCUAUCAGCUAGUUGGUGAGGUAACAGCUCACCAAGGCUAUGACGGGUAGCUGGUCUGAGAGGACGACCAGUCACACUGGAACUGAGACACGGUCCAGACACCUACGGGUGGCAGCAGUCGAGAAUUUUUCUCAAUGGGGGAAACCCUGAAGGAGCGACGCCGCGUGGAGGAUGAAGGCUUUCGGGUUGUAAACUCCUGUCAUUUGAGAACAAGGUGCACCGGUUAACUGCCGGUGCAUUGAUAGUAUCAGAAGAGGAAGGGACGGCUAACUCUGUGCCAGCAGCCGCGGUAAUACAGAGGUCCCAAGCGUUGUUCGGAUUCAUUGGGCGUAAAGGGUGCGUAGGUGGCGCCGUAAGUCGGGUGUGAAAUUUCGGAGCUUAACUCCGAAACUGCAUUCGAUACUGCGGUGCUUGAGGACUGGAGAGGAGACUGGAAUUCAUGGUGUAGCAGUGAAAUGCGUAGAGAUCAUGAGGAAGACCAGUGGCGAAGGCGGGUCUCUGGUCAGUUCCUGACACUGAGGCACGAAGGCCAGGGGAGCAAACGGGAUUAGAUACCCCGGUAGUCCUGGCAGUAAACGGUGCACGUUUGGUGUGGGAGGAUUCGACCCCUUCCGCGCCGGAGCUAACGCGUUAAACGUGCCGCCUGGGGGAGUACGGUCGCAAGAUUAAAACUCAAAGAAAUUGACGGGGGCCCGCACAAGCGGUGGAGUAUGUGGCUUAAUUCGAUGCAACGCGAAGAACCUUACCAGGGCCUUGAC